UACAAAAGCAGAAGUCCACUGCAGAAACGAGGGUUUGGGGGAAACCGAAAGCUCAGACAACGCUAGAGAAGGAGGCAGCAGUGGGAAGGGUUGGGUGUUGCCCCCCUCCGUAGCCCAUGAUCUCUGAUUUCCCCCCGAAAUUCAACACCCCUUACAUCUGGGAUCGAACUCCGAUCUUCUGAUCAUCCGAUUGCUUGUUGACUGGACUGCUUCUUCUAUAAUCUUUUCUUUUUGGGGCAUGUAUAAAACCUUUGAGCUUGGGAAUGGACUCGGGACCCGGUGCAGCCUUAAGAGUGGGAUGAAUUGGGCCGAUUAGUGUACAUUCUUAACAGGUUUUCUGGACGCAAUGGAGAAGAUAAAUGGUGGCUUAAGGUCUCAAAUUUUUGAUGCUUCUAAAGGCAGGAACUCGUUUAGACCUUUGUGGUGAUGCUUCUAAAGGGCACAGGAACUUGUAUAGACCUUUGUGGAACAAUUGGGUUCCACCCAAAGUGUUCUUUUGGCUGGAAGUUUUGAACAGGAGAAUUCCUUUGAUAAUGGACGGGAGAAUUCCACCUGAGUAGGGUAUGAUCGGUUUGGGUAUAUAAAUGGAUAUUGGAACCGGUUAUGGGUUCAGGUAUCAAUACCCAAUUUUAAAAAAUAUGUUUGGUUUGUAAUUUGUAAAAAAAUUAAAAAAAUAUCAAUUAUAAUAACAUAAAUUCUCUUAAAGUAUAAAGUAUUUGCUUUAUGAUAUGCAUUUUUAAAAAUCUUUAAUAAAAAAAUUGUGAAGUAAAUAUAAAAAUGUACUUUUUUAGGUAUUCUAUCGAGUAUUAAAAAAACCGGUAACGGGUAUUUUUCCAGUAUAAAACGGGUACGGUUUCGGAUACGAGUAUUGAUCUCAAAAUGUAUACUCUAUCCUACCUAGGGGUAGGAUAGGGUUCGGUUACGGGUAUAGAAAACCCCGGAUUAAAAAAUAACCGGUUCUGAGUUUUUUCCUCGGGUCCAGGUAUAGGUUUUUUGUGCACCUAUAGUCCCAGUCUUAUGUAGAUCAUAUUCAUCAUGAAACGUAAAUGAACCGUAGAGGCUACAUUAUGAGGAAGAAACAACAAUGUUUAGAGGUGAUGAUAAAUUUUUCGUCUGAAUGGAUCAAACGAAAGUUGAAACAUACCGUAUGUUGGUGGGGUAAUCUCCAGAGGCUUCUAUUUGAAGCAAACGUGAUGUUUGCAGCAAUGGCGGUUUGUUCUUCUGUGUUUUGAUUAUUACCAUAUAUGAGCCUAGAGUUCUUUUUCAGGUUUUCGUUUGACUUUUUACAAAACGUUUUCGUUUGACUUUUUAUAAAAGAAAAUUUUGUUCGAGUUAAGUAAAUGUAUUGCAACGAUUUGUCUAAAGCUAUAUGAUUAUCAUUAAACCCUAGAUGAAUUAUGCUAUAAAGUUAGUGAAUUUGCUCAGAGGAUGCUUAGGAUUAUCACUAA